UGAAAUGCUUAGAUAUCACGAAGAACCCCGAUUGCGAAGGCAGCUUGCCAGGCCUGGACUGACGUUGAGGCUCGAAGGUGCGGGUAUCGAACAGGAUUAGAUACCCUGGUAGUCCGCACGGUAAACGAUGGAUACUCGCUGUCGGCGAUACACGGUCGGCGGCCAAGCGAAAGCGUUAAGUAUCCCACCUGGGGAGUACGCCGGCAACGGUGAAACUCAAAGGAAUUGACGGGGGCCCGCACAAGCGGAGGAACAUGUGGUUUAAUUCGAUGAUACGCGAGGAACCUUACCCGGGCUUGAACUGUGCCUGACUGCCUCAGAGAUGGGGCUUCCAGCAAUGGCAGGCAUGGAGGUGCUGCAUGGUUGUCGUCAGCUCGUGCCGUGAGGUGUCGGCUUAAGUGCCAUAACGAGCGCAACCCCUCCCGCCAGUUGCCAUCAGGUAAUGCUGGGCACUCUGGGGGCACUGCCACCGCAAGGUGUGAGGAAGGUGGGGAUGACGUCAAAUCAGCACGGCCCUUACGUCCGGGGCUACACACGUGUUACAAUGGGAGGUCACAGAGGGCUGCUACCCGGCGACGNNNNNNNNNNNCCCAAACCCUCCCUCAGUACGGACUGGAGUCUGCAACCCGACUCCACGCCCCUGGAUUCGCUAGUAAUCGCGCAUCAGCCACGGCGCGGUGAAUACGUUCCCGGGCCUUGUACACACCGCCCGUCAAGCCAUGAAAGCCGGCGGUGCCUGAAGUGCGUAACCGCAAGGGGCGCCCUAGGGUAAAGCCGGUGAUUGGGGCUAAGUCGUAACAAGGUAACCA
rnacentral:rRNA from 1 species